UACGAAGGGGGCUAGCGUUGCUCGGAAUCACUGGGCGUAAAGGGUGCGUAGGCGGGUCUUUAAGUCAGGGGUGAAAUCCUGGAGCUCAACUCCAGAACUGCCUUUGAUACUGAGGAUCUUGAGUUCGGGAGAGGUGAGUGGAAUUGCGAGUGUAGAGGUGAAAUUCGUAGAUAUUCGCAGGAACACCAGUGGCGAAGGCGGCUCACUGGUCCACAACUGACGCUGAGGUGCGAAAGCGUGGGGAGCAAACAGG
rnacentral:rRNA from 1 species